GCAGUCGUACGGUGAAGCAGAGCUUGCUCUGUGGAUCAGUGGCGAACGGGUGAGUAACACGUGAGCAAUCUGCCCCUGACUCUGGGAUAAGCGCUGGAAACGGCGUCUAAUACCGGAUACGAGCUGCGACCGCAUGGUCAGUAGCUGGAAAGAAUUUCGGUCAGGGAUGAGCUCGCGGCCUAUCAGCUUGUUGGUGAGGUAAUGGCUCACCAAGGCGUCGACGGGUAGCCGGCCUGAGAGGGUGACCGGCCACACUGGGACUGAGACACGGCCCAGAUUCCUACGGGAGGCAGCAGUGGGGAAUAUUGCACAAUGGGCGAAAGCCUGAUGCAGCAACGCCGCGUGAGGGAUGACGGCCUUCGGGUUGUAAACCUCUUUUAGCAGGGAAGAAGCGAAAGUGACGGUACCUGCAGAAAAAGCGCCGGCUAACUACGUGCCAGCAGCCGCGGUAAUACGUAGGGCGCAAGCGUUAUCCGGAAUUAUUGGGCGUAAAGAGCUCGUAGGCGGUCUGUCGCGUCUGCUGUGAAAACCCGAGGCUCAACCUCGGGCCUGCAGUGGGUACGGGCAGACUAGAGUGCGGUAGGGGAGAUUGGAAUUCCUGGUGUAGCGGUGGAAUGCGCAGAUAUCAGGAGGAACACCGAUGGCGAAGGCAGAUCUCUGGGCCGUAACUGACGCUGAGGAGCGAAAGGGUGGGGAGCAAACAGGCUUAGAUACCCUGGUAGUCCACCCCGUAAACGUUGGGAACUAGUUGUGGGGUCCAUUCCACGGAUUCCGUGACGCAGCUAACGCAUUAAGUUCCCCGCCUGGGGAGUACGGCCGCAAGGCUAAAACUCAAAGGAAUUGACGGGGACCCGCACAAGCGGCGGAGCAUGCGGAUUAAUUCGAUGCAACGCGAAGAACCUUACCAAGGCUUGACAUAUAGAGGAAACGUCUGGAAACAGUCGCCCCGCAAGGUCUCUAUACAGGUGGGUGCAUGGUUGUCGUCAGCUCGUGUCGUGAGAUGUUGGGGUUAAGUCCCGCAACGAGCGCAACCCUCGUUCUAUGUUGCCAGCACGUAAUGGUGGGGAACUCAUGGGAUACUGCCGGGGUCAACUCGGAAGGGAAGGUGGGGAUGACGUCAAAUCAUCAUGCCCCUUAUGUCUUGGGCUUCACGCAUGCUACAAUGGCCGGUACAAAGGGCUGCAAUACCGUGAGGUGGAGCGAAUCCCAAAAAGCCGGUCCCAGUUCGGAUUGAGGUCUGCAACUCGACCUCAUGAAGUCGGAGUCGCUAGUAAUCGCAGAUCAGCAACGCUGCGGUGAAUACGUUCCCGGGUCUUGUACACACCGCCCGUCAAGUCAUGAAAGUCGGUAACACCUGAAGCCGGUGGCCCAACCCUUGUGGAGGGAGC
rnacentral:rRNA from 1 species